UACGGAGGGUGCGAGCGUUGUCCGGAAUCACUGGGCGUAAAGGGUGCGUAGGCGGGUCUUUAAGUCAGGGGUGAAAUCCUGGAGCUCAACUCCAGAACUGCCUUUGAUACUGAGGAUCUUGAGUACGGGAGAGGUGAGUGGAACUGCGAGUGUAGAGGUGAAAAUUCGUAGAUAUUCGCAAGAACACCAGUGGCGAAGGCGGCUCACUGGCCCGUAACUGACGCUGAGGCACGAAAGCGUGGGGAGCAAACAGG
rnacentral:rRNA from 1 species